UGGGGAAUUUUGGACAAUGGGGGAAACCCUGAUCCAGCCAUCCCGCGUGUGCGAUGAAGGCCUUCGGGUUGUAAAGCACUUUUGGCAGGAAAGAAACGUCAUGGGUUAAUACCCCGUGAAACUGACGGUACCUGCAGAAUAAGCACCGGCUAACUACGUGCCAGCAGCUGCGGUAAUACGUAGGGUGCAAGCGUUAAUCGGAAUUACUGGGCGUAAAGCGUGCGCAGGCGGUUCGGAAAGAAAGAUGUGAAAUCCCAGAGCUCAACUUUGGAACUGCAUUUUUAACUACCGGGCUAGAGUGUGUCAGAGGGAGGUGGAAUUCCGCGUGUAGCAGUGAAAUGCGUAGAUAUGCGGAGGAACACCGAUGGCGAAGGCAGCCUCCUGGGAUAACACUGACGCUCAUGCACGAAAGCGUGGGGAGCAAACAGG
rnacentral:rRNA from 1 species